CAGUCGCUGGCCAUGUCACAAGA
rnacentral:miRNA from 1 species